AUAAAGGGAAGUGAAGUACCCUA
rnacentral:siRNA from 1 species